AAAACGUGAUAUCUUUUAGUUGUUUUACAAAUUACAAUGGACCUAUGGAUUAUAGUGAUAUUAGUUAUUGUUGCAGUGUUAUUCGUGGCGAUUGGGUGUACUAUCAGUUGUUGUUGCCCCAGAGUGUGUUCCAAUGAAGAAGACGGAGACUAAUGCGAGAAGGACGCAUCAAGCAUCUAUAUGGCAAAAGAAAUCUCUUUUAUGAAAUAUUU
rnacentral:sRNA from 1 species